AUCUACAGCCUUACAACCCUGAACGCUCCCAAUCUUGUCUGACCUCAGAAGCUAAGCAGGGUCUGGUCUGGUUAGUACUUGAAGGGGAGAAAACAAAAAAUAUCAGACGUAUUUU
ensembl:rRNA 5S_rRNA 5S ribosomal RNA